CAAGAUUUUAAAAGUUUUUUAAAAUUGAAGGGAAACCUCAUUUCUAACACUGAAGAGCUUUAUCAAUGGUAUAUUCUCAAUCACUUAACAUGCAGACUCUGCUUCUAAAGCCUUAUGUUAGAUUUUAUUUUGAAAUACAGAUCUGUGGUUUUCAUAUAUGUCGUUUAAAUUCCAGGUGGUUAUUUAAUUUACAUAGAGCUUUCCAUAUUUAACUUUUGGAAAUUAAAAUCUUCAGUUCUCAAAGACCAUUGAAGCAUAUAUAUA